CCUACGGGAGGCAGCAGUGGGGAAUUUUGGACAAUGGGCGCAAGCCUGAUCCAGCAAUGCCGCGUGAGUGAAGAAGGCCUUCGGGUUGUAAAGCUCUUUUUGUCAGGGAAGAAACGGGUCUUUCUAAUACAGAGGCCUAAUGACGGUACCUGAAGAAUAAGCACCGGCUAACUACGUGCCAGCAGCCGCGGUAAUACGUAGGGUGCAAGCGUUAAUCGGAAUUACUGGGCGUAAAGCGUGCGCAGGCGGUUUUGUAAGUUUGUCGUGAAAUCCCCGGGCUCAACCUGGAACGGCGAUGAAGACUGCAAGGCUAGAGUUUGGCAGAGGGGGGUAGAAUUCCACGGUGUAGCAGUGAAAUGCGUAGAUAUGUGGAGGAACACCGAUGGCGAAGGCAGCCCCCUGGGUCAAAACUCGACGCUCAUGCACGAAAGCGUGGGGAGCAAACAGGAUUAGAUACCCUGGUAGUCCACGCCCUAAACGAUGUCUACUAGUUGUCGGGUCUUAAUUGACUUGGUUAACGCAGCUAACGCGUGAAGUAGGCCGCCUGGGGAGUCGGUCGCAAGNUUAAAACUAGAAUUAGAGUGAGNGNGNGNGNGCGAGACGACGACGAGGAGAGG
rnacentral:rRNA from 1 species